CGGUUGGUAUUGAGGGUGUCAUAUUGUAACUUUGCUAAAAAGUACCAGCGUCUUUACUUUUUCUUAAUAUAUUUUUCUCUCUCUUUUUUUUUUUUUUGAAAGAAAUAUCUACAUAGUUAUGUUAUGUUAUGUAUUGGGGAAGGAUCUAAUGAUGGGCAAAUGGUUGAAGUUUGAGGACUUGUUUACUUCACCUUUUGUUACAAGAAAGAGUCACGAGUCGAGUUAGUGGGAAGAAAAGGAUGGAUUCUGUGCUGAGAAUAAGCAUUUUGUUUUUUAUAAAAGAAAAUAGCUUAAUUACGAUUAGGUGGGAUCAGGUACCUUAAUCAAAUAUCAUAUGGGGAAAUCUUUCUUUUUUCUUUUUUCUUUUUUCUUCUUUCUUUUUUCUAUCUCUUGACUUGAGUUGAUUCUUAAGUCUAGUUAGUCUUAACCUAUUUAGUUGCCAUUCAUUUCAUUUAUACCAAAAUAUAUAUUACGAAGGGAAAAGACCUCUAAGUCCCCAACUAAUAAACUGUCCGUUUGUUUAAUCAUUCUACCAUUUAUAUCCUCCCUGUGCCAUUGCCUCUAAUUAUUUACAACACUUCUCAAAGGAUACAAUUACAAACCUAUGCCCUCUCUCUCUCUCUCUCUCUCUCUCAUUACCUGAAAAUAAAGAAGAAAACGUUGCAGCUACUCCUUUAAAUAUAAAGUGGACCAGAAGAGAAUUGCGAGGUAUUGAUGUGGGUGAAACUAGUGAGAAGAGAAUAGUAGAUAAUCAUCAGCUACUUUGGAGAGCUGAAACAUAUUAUUAUAUACUAUUCAUCACCCUUUCCCAUAUCCGAAGCGACCAUCAAGAUGCUUUUAUUUCAAAGUCUUUAUCUAGUUAGAAUCCCUACGGACAUAACCUAACAGCUCAAAAGACCAUAUCCCUUUCUUUACUCUUUACUCCUCAUUUGAUUAACAACACCCAAAAUAAAAGAAAGGUGAAAAAGAAAAAGAAAAAUAGAGUAACCCACAAUCGCCUCUUCCAAUUUCCCUCUAGUAACUUUUUUAUUUUGUUUUUUCAAUGGUUUUUUUCCCUUGACUUUUCUCCCUUCUAGCUAGUACCACUACCAUUAUUAAGCCUUUAAAAGAAGGAAAAAAGAAAGGAAAAGAAAAGGAAGACUUCAUAUCUCUAUUAUCACCAGCUUUCACAUAAGCAAGAAAAAUCCCACAUCGGAAAGAGUGGAUCAGGUUACAAUAUUGAAUCCUUUCAGCUUCACACGAUUGAGAAUGAACCCCCUCCUCUCUAUCUCAUUCGUUGUUCGAUUUGGCGCUGAAAAUCUAUGGAAUAAUCAAUUCUCAAGCCAUUUUUCCUAACUCCAAACAGUCAAAUCCAUAAAGGGUAGUCGGAAAAUUUCCCUCCAAAAAGUGUUUGUUUGGUGCUUGUGAGAAAGUAGUAAAACUCCAAUAUACUACUGCUACUACUACUACUUCUUACCAAUGGUGUCUCUUCAUCAUCACUACAAUCAUCACCGUCCGUACCGCCUAGUGCUUCUUGACAGUACAGAGUCAAACUCACCUCCACCGGCGGCAGCAGCAGCCAAUGAAAACAGAGGAAAUCUCACACGCGGGUCAUCAUACGUGAGUGAAGCCAACUUCGACACUAACAUGGUGAUCAUACUAGCGGCGUUGCUCUGCGCUCUGAUAUGCGCUUUGGGACUAAACUCCAUCGUACGUUGCGCUAUGCGGUGCAGCCGAAGGUUCGCUUUCGAGACGGCGGACGAAGCCGCGGCACGCCUGGCUGCCACGGGGCUGAAAAAGAGCGCAUUGCGUAAGAUCCCCGUGGCUGCAUAUGGCAUUUCUUCCGGGAUCAAAAUCAUUGAUACGGAUUGUACUAUUUGCCUCGGGGAGUUUGAGACGGGUGACAAAGUUAGAGUGUUGCCUAAAUGUUGUCAUGGUUUUCAUGUCCGGUGCAUAGAUCCAUGGUUGGUUUCCCACUCUUCAUGCCCGACUUGCAGGCGGUCCUUGCUCGAACAGCCAGCUAGUUCGGACGCCGCCCCUGCCACCGAAGCAGAUGUGGGAAUUCGACAUAAUGGGAAUGGAGCAGGGCCCGGAGUUGGACACGGUGAGGUGACAAUUAAUGUUGAUGAGGUUAGCUAAUGAUGGAUGAUAAGUAAAAUGGGGACACAAAGGCAGAACUAGUUUAUUGCUGUGUUCUUUUUUCUUUGUUAUUGGCCUAGGCUGCAGUCAAUGAAACAAGGCUAAUCUUACAAGCGGGCCAUGCUCUUGAGCGAAGGGAUUCUGCAUCAUUGAUCGGAAUGCUGCAACAGGGUCCAGAGAGGAGGACAAGUUGAGUUCUGUUUGAGAACUUCUGAAGUAAUACGAUGUACAUUUAACACACUCACGGAGAAGAAGAAAAGGAAAUAGAAGAGCGUUGAGUUCAAUAAUAUUUGCUGGAGUGAGUAGUGUAAAUGUAGUUUUGAGUAAAAUCAUAGGGUUCGUCUGUUGAUAGACUCAUUAGAAUGAAGAAUAAGAAGAGCCCACCUACUAAAGUAGUAUGUUCUUUUUUAUUAUCUUGCUCAUUUUAUGUUCCUUACAAAAAUAUGAUUAUUGUGUGUUUCAGCAA